rnacentral:rRNA from 1 species
AAUUCGCCCUUAGAGUUUGAUCCUGGCUCAGGAUGAACGCUGGCGGCGUGCUUAACACAUUCAAGUCGAACGGACAAAGAGGCUUCGGUUUCUUUGUUAGUGGCGGACGGGUGAGUAACGCGUGAAUAACCUGCCUGUGUGUGGGGGAUAACAACGGGAAACUGUUGCUAAUACCGCAUAACGUAAGAGGAUCGCAUGUUCCUCUUACCAAAGAUUAAUUGCGCACAGAUGGAUUCGCGUCCGAUUAGAUAGUUGGUGAGGUAACGGCCCACCAAGUCGACGAUCGGUAGCCGGACUGAGAGGUUGAACGGCCACAUUGGGACUGAGACACGGCCCAGACUCCUACGGGAGGCAGCAGUGGGGAAUAUUGCACAAUGGGGGAAACCCUGAUGCAGCAACGCCGCGUGAAGGAAGACGGUCUUCGGAUUGUAAACUUCUGUUCUUAGUGAAGAUAAUGACGGUAGCUAAGGAGCAAGCCACGGCUAACUACGUGCCAGCAGCCGCGGUAAUACGUAGGUGGCAAGCGUUGUCCGGAAUUACUGGGUGUAAAGGGAGCGCAGGCGGGAAAUCAAGUUGGAUGUGAAAUGUCGGGGCUUAACCCCGGAACUGCAUCCAAAACUGAUUUUCUUGAGUGAAGUAGAGGUAGGCGGAAUUCCGAGUGUAGCGGUGAAAUGCGUAGAUAUUCGGAGGAACACCAGUAGCGAAGGCGGCCUACCGGGCUUUAACUGACGCUGAGGCUCGAAAGUGUGGGGAGCAAACAGGAUUAGAUACCCUGGUAGUCCACGCAGUAAACGAUGAUAACUAACCGUCGGCGAUACACAGUCGGUGGCCAAGCGAAAGCGAUAAGUUAUCCACCUGGGGAGUACGACCGCAAGGUUGAAACUCAAAGGAAUUGACGGGGGCCCGCACAAGCGGAGGAACAUGUGGUUUAAUUCGAUGAUACGCGAGGAACCUUACCCGGGCUCGAACGGCAGAGGAAGAGAUUCAGAGAUGAUGACGUCCCUUCGGGGACUUCUGUCGAGGUGCUGCAUGGUUGUCGUCAGCUCGUGUCGUGAGAUGUUGGCUCAAGUGCCAUAACGAGCGCAACCCUUGUCAUUAGUUACCAUCAGGCAAAGCUGGGGACUCUAAUGAGACUGCCACCGCAAGGUGUGAGGAAGGGGGGGAUGACGUCAAAUCAGCACGGCCCUUACGUCCGGGGCGACACACGUGUUACAAUGGCAACUACAGAGGGCAGCUACCCAGCGAUGGGAUGCAAAUCUUCAAAAGUUGUCUCAGUUCGGACUGGAGUCUGCAACUCGACUCCACGAAGCUGGAUUCGCUAGUAAUCGCGCAUCAGCCAUGGCGCGGUGAAUACGUUCCCGGGCCUUGCACUCACCGCCCGUCA